CCUGGUAGUCCACGCCGUAAACGAUGUCGACUUGGAGGUUGUGCCCUUGAGGCGUGGCUUCCGGAGCUAACGCGUUAAGUCGACCGCCUGGGGAGUACGGCCGCAAGGUUAAAACUCAAAUGAAUUGACGGGGGCCCGCACAAGCGGUGGAGCAUGUGGUUUAAUUCGAUGCAACGCGAAGAACCUUACCUGGUCUUGACAUCCACAGAACUUUCCAGAGAUGGAUUGGUGCCUUCGGGAACUGUGAGACAGGUGCUGCAUGGCUGUCGUCAGCUCGUGUUGUGAAAUGUUGGGUUAAGUCCCGCAACGAGCGCAACCCUUAUCCUUUGUUGCCAGCGGUCCGGCCGGGAACUCAAAGGAGACUGCCAGUGAUAAACUGGAGGAAGGUGGGGAUGACGUCAAGUCAUCAUGGCCCUUACGACCAGGGCUACACACGUGCUACAAUGGCGCAUACAAAGAGAAGCGACCUCGCGAGAGCAAGCGGACCUCAUAAAGUGCGUCGUAGUCCGGAUUGGAGUCUGCAACUCGACUCCAUGAAGUCGGAAUCGCUAGUAAUCGUGGAUCAGAAUGCCACGGUGAAUACGUUCCCGGGCCUUGUACACACCGCCCGUCACACCAUGGGAGUGGGUUGCAAAAGAAGUAGGUAGCUUAACCUUCGGGAGGGCGCUUACCACUUUGUGAUUCAUGACUGGGGUGAAGUCGUAACAAGGUAACCGUAGGGGAACCUGCGGUUGGAUCAC
rnacentral:rRNA from 1 species